GCUCACCAAGUGCUGAGGUGCAUGGUGUGUAAAAGUCACCAAUGCCCUGCUGAUUCCAUAACUGAAGAUUUAAAACGUCCACUGGCAUUAAUAUCAGCACAAAAUCAGGUGCUUCAUGGAAUAUGUUUCCAUGGCCAAGCAGCUGCAUGCAUGCCAAACAUCAACAAGUACAUUCCCAAGCGUCUGAUCGAGUGGCAUAGAG